GCUUACGGCCAUACCACCCUGAAGGCGCCCGAUCUUGUCUGAUCUCGGAAGCUGAGCAGGGUCAGACCUGGUUAGUACUUGGAUGGGAGACCGUCUGGGAAUACCAGGUGCUGUAAGCU
rnacentral:rRNA from 1 species